UACGGAGGGUGCAAGCGUUAUCCGGAUUCACUGGGUUUAAAGGGUGCGUAGGCGGGCUUGUAAGUCAGUGGUGAAAGCCCGGAGCUUAACUCCGGAACUGCCAUUGAUACUGCAGGUCUUGAGUACACUUGAGGUGGGCGGAAUACAUCAUGUAGUGGUGAAAUACUUAGAUAUGAUGUAGAACACCGAUUGCGAAGGCAGCUCACUAAAUUGAAACUGACGCUGAGGCACGAAAGCGUGGGGAGCAAACAGG
rnacentral:rRNA from 1 species